UGGGGGAUAUUGCACAAUGGGGGGAACCCUGAUGCAGCGACGCCGCGUGAGCGAAGAAGUAUUUCGGUAUGUAAAGCUCUAUCAGCAGGGAAGAAAAUGACGGUACCUGAGUAAGAAGCCCCGGCUAAAUACGUGCCAGCAGCCGCGGUAAUACGUAUGGGGCAAGCGUUAUCCGGAUUUACUGGGUGUAAAGGGAGCGUAGGCGGCCUGGCAAGUCUGAUGUGAAAUACCGGGGCCCAACCCCGGGGCUGCAUUGGAAACUGUCAGGCUGGAGUGUCGGAGAGGCAGGCGGAAUUCCUAGUG
rnacentral:rRNA from 1 species